rnacentral:rRNA from 1 species
GAUUGAACGCUGGCGGCAGGCCUAACACAUGCAAGUCGAGCGGUAGCACAAGAGAGCUUGCUCUCCGGGUGACGAGCGGCGGACGGGUGAGUAAUGUCUGGGAAACUGCCUGAUGGAGGGGGAUAACUACUGGAAACGGUAGCUAAUACCGCAUAACGUCGCAAGACCAAAGUGGGGGACCUUCGGGCCUCACGCCAUCAGAUGUGCCCAGAUGGGAUUAGCUAGUAGGUGGGGUAAUGGCUCACCUAGGCGACGAUCCCUAGCUGGUCUGAGAGGAUGACCAGCCACACUGGAACUGAGACACGGUCCAGACUCCUACGGGAGGCAGCAGUGGGGAAUAUUGCACAAUGGGCGCAAGCCUGAUGCAGCCAUGCCGCGUGUGUGAAGAAGGCCUUCGGGUUGUAAAGCACUUUCAGCGAGGAGGAAGGCAGUAAGGUUAAUAACCUUGCUGAUUGACGUUACUCGCAGAAGAAGCACCGGCUAACUCCGUGCCAGCAGCCGCGGUAAUACGGAGGGUGCAAGCGUUAAUCGGAAUGACUGGGCGUAAAGCGCACGCAGGCAGUUUGUUAAGUUGGAUGUGAAAUCCCCGGGCUUAACCUGGGAACUGCAUUCAAAACUGGCAAGCUAGAGUCUCGUAGAGGGGGGUGGAAUUCCAGGUGUAGCGGUGAAAUGCGUAGAGAUCUGGAGGAAUACCGGUGGCGAAGGCGGCCCCCUGGACGAAGACUGACGCUCAGGUGCGAAAGCGUGGGGAGCAAACAGGAUUAGAUACCCUGGUAGUCCACGCUGUAAACGAUGUCGAUUUGGAGGUUGUUCCCUUGAGGCGUGGCUUCCGGAGCUAACGCGUUAAAUCGACCGCCUGGGGAGUACGGCCGCAAGGUUAAAACUCAAAUGAAUUGACGGGGGCCCGCACAAGCGGUGGAGCAUGUGGUUUAAUUCGAUGCAACGCGAAGAACCUUACCUACUCUUGACAUCCAGAGAACUUGGCAGAGAUGCCUUGGUGCCUUCGGGAACUCUGAGACAGGUGCUGCAUGGCUGUCGUCAGCUCGUGUUGUGAAAUGUUGGGUUAAGUCCCGCAACGAGCGC